rnacentral:lncRNA from 1 species
UGGAACAGAUGGGAUCUGCGGGAUCCUGGUCCAGCUUGGGGUAGGGUGGGGAGGGGAGGUUCUCUGAGGAAGGAAGGCCUUCUCUGAGGAUUUUAGUGUUGCAGCUCUUGUAGGUGAUACUCAAUGAAACAGCUCUCUUAGAGAAUCUUCAGUAAAAUAGCUGCUGUGCAUACACUGUAUACAAGGGCUACAUAUGAACCUUGGAGAGUGGAGAUUUCUGGGUGAAUAUAAAAGGCGAUGGCUGAAGCUUAAGUCCUGUGAAUGCCUCAUUUGUCUGGAGAUGCGUUCCGAGAAUCUCAGGUUCAUCCUUGUCGUAGCAUCCUUCCUUAAUGGAUGAGUGACCUUCUGCUGUGUGGAUCACCUCAUUGUGCCUGUCCAUUCAUCUGCUGAUAGACACUGGGUUAUUCUCACCUUUGACUUGAAUCUUGCUGCUGUGAACACUGAUGUACAAGCAGAUAUCCCAGUCCCUGCUUUCAGCUUGAGUAAACUCCUCCAGGUUUGAAUUUGCCCUUUGAAUCCUUGGUGGCAUAUGGUGGAAUUGUGGCUAGCAGGCAGGAGCCUAGCAUAACUGUCUCCUGAGAGGCUCCGUCCAGUGGAUGGAAACAGAUGUAGAGACCCACAGCUGAAUCGCAGGCAGAGCUCGGGGAGUCUUGUGGAAGAGUGGGAGGAAGGACAGCACAAGAAGACCUGCAGAGUCAACUAACCUGGGCCCAUGGGGGCUUACAGAGACUGAGCCAAACAAAGAGCAUGCAUGGACUGGACAUAGGUCCCCUACACAUAUGCAGGAGAUAUGCAGCUUGGUCUUCAUGUGGGUCUUUUGUAACAACUGGAGUGGGGCCAGUCUCUGACUCUGUUGUCUGCCUUUCCAUCCCUUUCCCCUAGCUAGGCUGCCUUUCCUGGCCUCAGUGGGAGAGGAUGUGUUUAGUCCUGAUUCGACCUGAAGUGCAAAGAGGGGUUGGUAACCAAGGGGACGGGCCUUCCUUUCUCUGGGGAGGAGGGGAAGAGGCAAUGGGGAAAGGGGCAUGGGAGGAUAGGGGGGAGGGAAGCUUCAAUCAGGAUGUAAAGUGAAUAAAUAAAUUAAAAGAGAGUAAUUGUAGUUUGAAUAUUGAUAUCCAAUGCUUUUGGGUGUUUUAUUUUUACAGUCUCUCACUAAACCUGGAGCUUGUGGAUUUUGCUAGACUGACUGACAAUCAAGCCCCUGUGUCCUUCUGCCUCUGCCUCCCCAGAGCUGAGGUUACAGGUGCAAGCCAUGAUGCCAGACUCUGUAAGUGACUGCUGAAGUUCAACUCAGAUCUUCAUGUUUGACUGUCAUCUCCCAGGCUACACUCCUUGAACUAAGUCAGGCUACAGAGGCUGCAUUUCCUAGAGACAUCUGGUCAACCUCACAUCCAUGGAGUAGAGAGCAGAGAACACUCCUUAGAGAAAAGGGACCUGAGUUCAAGUGGGUUCCAGUCUGAAUCCCAGACUGAACAGCUUUCGUAUUUUUCAAUUAGUCUGGAGCUUUUCAUACCUGUAAAUUCUGCUUCUGGAAUAGUCUUCCACCUAGUACGUCAGCUUUUCCCAAGGAGAGUGCCUUCCCCACCUGCAUACUUCCUUUUCUGAGAAGUGUCUAAUUUCUAUGUUGCAACAAAUAUGUACUCAGUGAUAAGUGGAUAUUAGCCCAGAAACUUAGGAUACCCAAGAUAUAAGAUACAACUUGCCAAA